UUUUACUGAGAAAAAAAGAAAAAAGAGAAAGAAAGAAACAAACAAACGAAGAAAGAAAGAAAGAAGAAAAGAGAAAGAAAAAAAAAAAAAAAAAAAAAAAAAAAAAAAAGAAAGAAAAAGAAAGGAAGGAAGGAAGGAAGGAAGGAAGGAAGGAAGGAAGGAAGGAAGGAAGGAAGGAAGGAAGGAAGGAAGGAAAAGGAAAAGAAAAAGAAAAAAAAAGAAAGAAAAAGAAAGAAAGAAAGAAAGAAAGAGAGAGAAAGAAAGAAAGAAAAGAAAGAAAGAGAAAGAAGAGAGAGAAAGAAGAAAAAGGGCUCAAAAUAAGAUGUUUUUAAAGUGUUCAUGCAUCUUUUUGUUAUACUAGUAAUAGUUACUCGAUAAUGCUCCAUAAUUAAAUUAAUAUCUUUCUCCCUUUUUAUCUUGAAUGUGUUAUAGUAGUAGAGUCUCUUGGAUUUCAGAAAGUGUAUAAUAUACUAAAGAUGGUGUACGUUGUAUUUCCAACAAAGACUCCAUUAGUAACUCUAUGAUCUCAUGUGAGCUAAUUGAGUUGAUGGUUACUCAUCCUUUUCUGAUCAGAAGUUUUAGAAAACUGUAGCUCAUUUGUCUAUGCCCUUAUUUAAGUCAUUUGCUUAUCUCCUCUUAUCUAAGCCACUUGAGUAAUGGGCAGUUACUGCCAAAAUAGCUUUUUCUUAAAAGUUGAAAAAGCAAGAAAAACAAUUUCUCCUUCUUCAUUUCUAGUUAAGAGUUUUGAUAACUUUCUUUGCACUUACUAAGCAAGCAUUCUGGGUUUGAUGCAAGGGCAAAGUAUGGGUCCAAGGAGGCAAGGGUGAAAGUGUAUAGGUGACAGUUUCCCAACCACAGAACUCAAUUGCCUCAGUGAAUAAUAAGAGUCAGACAAAGAACCGAUCUGUUCUGUUGCAUCUCAAAUUGAUUUACGUCAGUUUAUUCAUUUGCCAGUCUAGGGCAUUUAUCUUGCACUGCAACAUUCACAUGCUAAUUUAAUGGACAUUUGUUGAAUAAAGAUAAUAAUUCAAGCCAAUGAUAGAAGAACAUGCACUGUUCUAAAACUCUAUAGUCCAUUUAGGUAAUGAUUUAUUAUUUAUUUUUUCUACCUUUUUUGCUCUGCAGAUUUGAUUUUAUAUUGGGUAUAAUUUCCUAGAUAAAACAUGGACUAUAUAAGUGGGUAAUAGGGUUUUAUAGUGCCUAACUAUAGUAACACAUACAAUUAUCUUUUAAUAAGAGUUAUAAUAAUGAUAUACUCCCCUACUACUUUUAAUAGUUAUGAUGAUAUAUUUCUACCCAUACUCACAUAGAUGCAGAGAUUGCCUUUACUCCUUGGCCUGCUUCAUUCUGAGGGUUGGUAUGCUUGAGGAAGGAACUAAAGGACAGGAAAAAUCCACAAGAAUCAAGAACUAAGAUAGAAAUAAGAAAAUACUGGGGAUUCUGGGUGGCUCAGUUGGUUAAGUGUCUGACUCUUGAUUUCGGCUCAGCACAUGAUCUCAGGGUUGUGAAAUCGAGUCUCUGUGGGGCUCUGCAUUGUCGUGGAACCUGCAUAAGAUUCUCUCUCUCCCUCAAUCUCUACCUUUCCCCACCUCAAAAAAAAAAAAAGUGAGAGAGAGAGAGACAGAGAGACAGAGAAAUAAGAAAAUACUGGGAAAAUAAUAGAAACAAAAAUUAGAUUUACCCUGCCCACUGAGCUCUGUAUAGGGUUUAUAUUUGUCUUCUUAUUUUCCCUAAGGUUUCCUCUCCCUAGUUGAAAAGUCUUCGCAUUUGUCUUUAUAGAAGAUUUAGGAAUUAACAUUUUCUGAAUAUAGAAUAAAGAGGUUAGACAUGCGUAUGUGUAUGUCUAUGCAUACGUGUUUAUAUUUACCUAAGUGUGUUUAUGUGUAAAUAAAUAUAUUUACAAGUGUAUGUAUGUGUAUUGCAUUUGCAUGUGUGUAUAUUUGUAUAUAUAUUUACAUAUUUGGCAGUUUGUGUUUGUAUGCACAUAAGUAUGUAUAUAUAUGUGUAUAUAUUUGAGUAUCUAUGUAUUUAUAUUUGAUAUAUCAGAAGACAAACAAAUUUGAGAAAGUAAAUAGCUCAUCUGUAAAAUUGCUAGGUUUAAAAAAUUUACUUUCUAAUAUAUUCUGGCCUGGUCUAAGUCAAUAAAUUUUUUGUGUGCUUCAGGAGAAUAAUUUUAGAAUGAAGAGAAAUCGACCUUGGACAGUUUUCCAUGGAUUUGGAUAAUUUCCAGGCUAGGUUAUUAAUUGUGACUCGUAUGUUUUCUGGACCCUGCUGUAUCAAUUGAAUGAGGAGUCAUUUUCUUUUAUAAGCAAUUUUUAUUCCAUCUGUGGAUUGCUAUACUCCAUUUUAGAAAUGACUCUGUCUCGCCAGCCAAAAAAAAAAAAAAAUGCUUCUUUUCAAAGAAGUCCACUGUUUAUAGCUUUAAUUAGUGAUCAAGAGAUUUUCAAUAAGUCUUAAAGGUGAGGUCACGUAAGCUAAAAAGUUUUACAAUUACUUUUUCUUCCAUGAAAUUCAACACAAUAGAACAAAGAUUAGCAAUGGUUAUGAAACCUCUGAUAAUAAAUGGGCUUUCAAUAUUUUUCGUAUUCUCACUAGCGGAAUGGCUUGUUUUUUAAACUUCAUUUGAUCUCCAUAAGGUAUAAUUAAUUAUACAGAAUUUCAAAUCCCAAUGUGGAGAGCUGAAAACCACAUGGUAAUUGUUCUUAAUAGUUGGGAUUCUUUUCCUGGUUAGCAGCACAGAAACUUCUUUCUGGGAAUCACAAAAUUGUCAUGCUGAGUUGAACAGGAUGCAAAU
rnacentral:lncRNA from 1 species